UGCCUACGGGACGCAGCAGUGGGGGAUAUUGCACAAUGGGGGGAACCCUGAUGCAGCGACGCCGCGUGGGUGAAGAAGCGCCUCGGCGCGUAAAGCCCUGUCAGCAGGGAAGAAAAUGACGGUACCUGAAGAAGAAGCCCCGGCUAACUACGUGCCAGCAGCCGCGGUAAUACGUAGGGGGCAAGCGUUAUCCGGAUUUACUGGGUGUAAAGGGAGCGUAGACGGCGAUGCAAGUCUGAAGUGAAAGGCGGGGGCCCAACCCCCGGACUGCUUUGGAAACUGUAUGGCUGGGGUGCAGGAGAGGG
rnacentral:rRNA from 1 species